GUCGAGCGGACGGAGGAACUUCGGUUCCGAAGUUAGCGGCGGACNNNNNAGUAACGCGUGAACAAUCUGUCCCAGACAGGGGGAUAACACAUCGAAAGGUGUGCUAAUACCGCAUAAGACCACGGUGCCGCAUGGCACAGGGGUAAAAGAACGGAAUCGGUUUGGGGUGAGUUCGCGUCUGAUUAGCUAGUUGGUGAGGUAACGGCCCACCAAGGCGACGAUCAGUAGCCGAUCUGAGAGGAUGACCGGCCACAUUGGAACUGAGAGACGGUCCAAACUCCUACGGGAGGCAGCAGUGGGGAAUAUUGGGCAAUGGGCGCAAGCCUGACCCAGCAACGCCGCGUGAGGGAAGAAGGUUUUCGGAUUGUAAACCUCUGUCCUAAGGGAAGAAAGGAAUGACGGUACCUUAGGAGGAAGCCCCGGCUAACUACGUGCCAGCAGCCGCGGUAAUACGUAGGGGGCGAGCGUUGUCCGGAAUGACUGGGCGUAAAGGGCGUGUAGGCGGCCUGUUAAGUUAGGAGUGAAAGUCCAGCUUUCAAGGUUGGAAUUGCUUUUAAUACUGAUGGGCUUGAGUGCAGAAGAGGUAAGUGGAAUUCCCAGUGUAGCGGUGAAAUGCGUAGAGAUUGGGAGGAACACCAGUGGCGAAGGCGACUUACUGGGCUGUAACUGACACUGAGGCGCGAAAGCGUGGGGAGCGAACAGGAUUAGAUACCCUGGUAGUCCACGCGGUAAACGAUGA
rnacentral:rRNA from 1 species